UACGGAAGGGGCAAGCGUUGUUCGGAAUUAUUGGGCGUAAAGAGCUCGUAGGCGGUCUGUCGCGUCGGAUGUGAAAAUCCAGGGCUCAACCCUGGACCUGCAUUCGAUACGGGCAGACUAGAGUUCGGUAGGGGAGACUGGAAUUCCUGGUGUAGCGGUGAAAUGCGCAGAUAUCAGGAGGAACACCGGUGGCGAAGGCGACAUCCUAGACCGGUAUUGACGCUGAGGCGCGAAAGCCAGGGGAGCAAACGGG
rnacentral:rRNA from 1 species